ensembl:snRNA U4 U4 spliceosomal RNA
UUCUUUGCACAAUGGCAGUAUCAUAGCCAAUGAAGUUUAACCAAGGUAUGAUUAUUGCUUAUUGAAAACCAAAUAUACAAAGACA